GAUGAACGCUGGCGGCGUGCCUAAUACAUGCAAGUCGAGCGAACGGACGAGAAGCUUGCUUCUCUGAUGUUAGCGGCGGACGGGUGAGUAACACGUGGAUAACCUCCCUAUAAGACUGGGAUAACUUCGGGAAACCGUAGCUAAUACCGGAUAAUAUUUUGAACCGCAUGGUUCAAAAGUGAAAGACGGUCUUGCUGUCACUUAUAGAUGGAUCCGCGCUGCAUUAGCUAGUUGGUAAGGUAACGGCUUACCAAGGCAACGAUGCAUAGCCGACCUGAGAGGCGGAUCGGCCACACUGGAACUGAGACACGGUCCAGACUCCUACGGGAGGCAGCAGUAGGGAAUCUUCCGCAAUGGGCGAAAGCCUGACGGAGCAACGCCGCGUGAGUGAUGAAGGUCUUCGGAUCGUAAAACUCUGUUAUUAGGGAAGAACAUAUGUGUAAGUAACUGUGCGCAUCUUGACGGUACCUAAUCAGAAAGCCACGGCUAACUACGUG
rnacentral:rRNA from 1 species